rnacentral:lncRNA from 1 species
UAAUUUGCAGUUUUGCUUGCUUGUGUUGCUGCUGUGCCUUGGACGCUUGCUUCUGAACACACAUACGCACGGUUGAUCGUUUGAUUUUGGGGAUUCUUUUUUAUUUCCAUUAUUAUAUUACAUGUAUAAAUAAUAAUGAAAACAGUUCAGAUUGUAUUAGGUCCCAGUCCUAUGUAGCUAACAAUUACAAUUGUUAGAAGUAAUAUUUUCUGCUUAUGGGGAGAAAUAUCCUAAGUGUUUUUGUUGUUUGAAUACUCUCCUCUUUUAUUCAUAUUAUUGGACGGGUGGGCACCCAAGAUGGGCCGAGCCGACCCGACUCACACAUGAUAACCACUUGUUGGUUACCAUAAGCAUUUGGGGGAGGGAAGUUGAUUUGUGUUCAACUUCCCAACUUCUACAUAUACAUGCCAUCAAAAUCAUUGCAAUGGAGAUGUGGUUUACUUCUUUAUUCAUUAAAAAGAAAAACAAGAUCUUUGAACAAUCCGUAAAAGGAAAAUAUAUUGUGGCUUGAGAAAGAUUUCCGCUCGUAAUUUCUUUUCGACCAGUGAUGUGAUCCAACACAUAUUUAUUCCGCUGCAUAAUUUGAAAAAAGUAAGGCCUAUUGAUUUUUUUUUUAAGAAUUUCUUCAUUGGUAUUAGAGCCUGAAUUGUGUUGGAUUCGUGCAUUUGUUGGAUUUAAUUCAUGAAAAGCUUGAUUUUUUUUUAAUUUUUGUGAUGUUGUUGUUUUAAGUGUUCUGGAAUGUUUAAUAUGAAUGGAUUAAUUUUGAAAUUGAUAUUAUUAAAACUAGCCUAAGGUUAAGAUUGCAUGAACCCUAAAUAUAUAUGAAACCCGAAACUUCAAUGGAUCAUAUCUUUUGAUUUAGGACACCUGACAAUAUGUGUGAUAUAUCAUUGGAAAGAUCUUUUUGAGAGCUUUCCAACGGUAUGUGAUUUGUUAAAAACGGACUUAAUACGAGAAAUUUAUGACCAAAAUAUGAUUAUGGUAGGAUUAGGAUUUGGAAAGGGUUAAAAACUUUAAUUUGGACAAGAUGAUGAACAGUGCCAGAGUUAGUUUUUUUGACGGUUUCAGCCUAUUCCGACCUCCGUUUGAAAAUCCGAAUGUUCCAUUGAAUUCAUAAUGAAGAUCCAAUGUGCUCGUUAGUGCCGUGACUGGCAGUGCCUCUGGUUGCACUAAAAAAUUCAGCCAAUUUGCUCAUGGUGUCCUCCAGACACUACAGCUUGUCAUUGAUUCCAAUUUUCAUUUGUUCCAUCUUGUUUUGGAAGCUCCCAAUAUCAGCUUCAAUUUGUUCGAUGCGCUUCUUGUUGGUCGUCAUUGAUAGCUAGCUCUUAUACCAAUGUUAGGUCCCAGCCAAAUGUAGCUAACAAUUACAAUUGUUAGAAGUAAUAUUUUUUACUUAUGGUGAGAAGUAAUACUCUUCCCCUUUAUUCAUAUCUCUGGAGCUUAUUUAUAACAAAAGACUUUGAUUUCCAACCCAAUAUCUUAGCUGGAAUCAAUCAACAAAUAUCAAACUAACAACUUGACUAAUAUUUCGAACUGAAAAAUAAAUCAAAAGCAAACUUCCAAGAUUUGGAUCCCCCCUCAAUCUCUGCACGAUCUCUCACAAAGUAAACCCAAAAUCAUGGCUCCGAUUUGGCAUUCACACAUUAACCUCACGUGAGACUUCAUGCAUGGCUUUGGGAAUGGCUUUGCAUGGCACUCUUCACGUAGUGGACUUUGGGUUUGGCUUUGGUAGCCUAUCAGACCUUCGUGGCUCAUGACUCAGCACUCUAUCAGAUUGUUCCUUAGUUUGAUGAUAGGAACGCCACCAUGGCUUGAGUUAUUAUUUUUGUAUACCAUUCUGUCGACUUUUGAUGCACAUACUCUUGUUCUUGUACUUUUGCAUUUUAUUUAUUAUGUAUUUAAUUUUCUGCAGCGGCUGAUUAAUUAAUUUAUCUUUAAAUCAAUGCUUGAUCGCAGAUACAUUUAAUGUUUCUAUUUGAAUUUUUAUUUUUAUUUUAUAAUUUUUUUGUGAGUUUUGUGUAUGCGGUAAAAUCCUUUGUCUUUAUUCGAACAUUGAGAACAAGUACUUAAAACUCUUUCUAGUUUUCAUAUUUCGGAGAGGGGACUGGCUGUUGAUAAACUAAAUAAGUUAUUUUUCUCAUUAAAAAUUUUGUAUUUUAAAAUUAUUCUGAAAAGCUUUAAUAUUUUCGAUUAUAAGUUUAAAGUAAUUUUCACCUUUUUUUUUCAAGUGAGAUUAGUUGAUAUUGCAGGACUUUAAUUAGUUAAAUUAGCUGUCAUAUUUAAAAAAUAAUAAUGUUUAGUUUUUGAAUGAACACAUUUUGCUUUCAAACUUUGUAAAAUUAAAUAAUUUCUAAAAUCAAGCAUACCGCCUAUUAAAAAAAAGGGCAAAAUACCAAAAGCCCACCGAAGCCCACAAAGUUUUGGAUUACGUGCAAACUUAGGACAAAGACUAAUAAGGCCCAAAUUUUAAGUCUUCCAAAUCGUAACAAGCUUCUUUGUCAACUCAAUUUUUUAAAAAUAAAUUUCGAAAUUUGCUAACAAUUAUUUGGUUAAAUUUUAAAGUGUUUGAAAUUAUGAGAUUUUGUAAUUAUAUAUUUAAAAGUUAAUCAUCAAUUGGUAACACUUAUUAAUUCUAAUUGAUUGACACCAACUAAUAACAUAAUGUGACUGAUCUCAUAUAAAACUUUCUCGAUAUAUAAUUAUCGUGGACUACAUGUUUCUUGUUUCGAAAUCGGAGGCCAUUACUAAUUUACCCAAGUGGGGCUUUCCCCAGUGUUUUAAGCAAACGCCUAACACACAUGAUUUUUUAUCAUUAAAAAGAUAGAGAUUUGAGAUGAUGAAAUUGGAUGAUUUGGUGCAUCUAAUUCAUAAUAUGACAAGAUGAGAUUUCACUUACCAACAUAUUUGCUAGUCAAAUAUAAGAAAUUGCAAAACAAGUCGUGUUUUAUUAUAUUCGUUAAAAGCCUUUCAAUCAUGUAUCUGUUGGCCAAUUAAAUUACGCAAUUAACACCCUUUUCUUCAUCUUGUUCAAAAUCAGAUUCGCUGCUUUUACUUCAAAAAAAAACAAUAAAUGAAUCGCAGGUUUCUUUCUUAAACAAAUAAUUUUUUAUUUUUUAUUUUUUAUUUUUAUCUCGAGAGGGAGAGACCUUCCCCCUGGCCAAUAAGUCCGUUUCCACAAUUUGAGGAUGAUUUAUGAGUUUUCUUUAUUUUCGACACAAAAUUCAAUACGUUUGAAGAAAAAAAGAAAUGUGAGUUGGACAAAUUCAUUGGAAAAAAAUUUAGUCAAUUGUGUUAUAAAAUGUAUCUCUCCGACCGUUGUUUUCGUUGAUUUUAUUUGUUAAGUCAGUCUACAACACAAACCCUAAAAUGUUUCAAUCUCACCAAUUAUUUUUUCUAUAAAAUUUUUUUUAUUACAUUUAUAUGGCACUAUUUUUGUUAUACUUUCAAUUUUUUUUUUUUUGUCAGCACGUUACAAAAUACAAGAGCAUUUAACGUAGUUUAUGAACACCCAGGUUCUAAAUGGUUAAUAGAACAAGGACUGACGUUAAUUUAGGAAGUGAAAAUUUUCAUCUAUAUCCAAAUCUAAAAAAUAAUAAUAUAAAAUUAAAUAAAACACCUGUAACUUUAAGACAUACAUAUCCUCAAUGCUGGGAGUCGUAAUGAAAAGAAGAAGAAUUACAACAAAAUUGGGGACCAUAAUGGAAACUGGUAGAACCUACAAGGGCUAAUCUUAUCUUUCAAUUGAUUUUUGUGGAGCCAGAAACAAUUAAACCCGAACAGCAAAUAGCCAUAAAUGAAAGCACAAUUAAAUUGGAACUCUCCGCAGACCCACGAUUUAAUAUCUUUAGAUUGUAACGAUUCAACCCAAAAAAAUAUUCUAGUAAAAUAUUUCUUAAAAAAAUGCUUCUUCACGUCACAACGUUGAAAACAAGAACAAAAUUGUGGUCCACGUGUCAUUUCAAAGUAGGUUGCUGGCAUAAACAUCCGGCUCCAUCCCGGACAGAUGUUAUGUGAGUGGUUGGUACGCGUUUCCACUUUUUUGUUUCAGAUGCAACGACUCAUGCACUAAAAAAAAAAAAUAAAUAAAUUUACGUUUAAGUUUUAAAAAUUAAUAUCGAUUUAAAUAUGAAUCUAAUGUUAAACUCUUAUUCAGGCAUCGAUUGUACUCGGCAAAAUAAUAAUAAUAAUAAUUAAGAAGCAGAGGCCAGGCAGGCGGUUGUAGGGCUGCUGCUAUCUUAUAGUUUUAGAAGAAGGUUCUUUUCUUUCUUUAGAGUUGAUGCCGUGAGACGUUUUUUAUAUUAUUAUGAUAACUUUGGUUGCGGAUUCAAUUGAAAUAAUAAUUCUUCUUCGACGCGUACCGACCGCCCUCGCUAAACUCUCCUUCCAAGAAAUUAACAACAACCACUCCGCCAUUUUUCUUCUAUAAAUACAUAUACUUCACACACAUUUACAUAUUUACACCCACUCUCGUCGACAUCAUCAUCAUCAAUUAACAUAUCUCCAACUUCAGCUUCUUCUCCCACCUAACUUGUCAUUUUUCUUCCUUUGCCUUUGCCAGUCUUUUCUCUCUUCUAUCAACUGCAAGCAUGAGCUCCUACAAUCAGAAUCAGUCCUCAGGUAACUAAAUCAUCUGCAUAUCCUACUUCUCCUCCUGUUGUUACGUUCCCAAGUUUUUAAAUUGUGAAUUUUGAAUCUACAUGUUUUAUCUUAACUGGGUAAUUGUGUAUAUGUAGUAGCAUACCCCCCACCACCACCGUCUACAACGGCGGGUCUGUACGUGGCGGCGCCACCACCGGCAGGUUAUCCAACGAAAGACGGCGAUCAUGGUUACGCUCAAAAUGCCCCCGUAGAAACCAAGUCCAGAGGUGAUGGCUUCUGGAAAGGAUGGUAUGCAAUCUUUAUGUGUUUCACCUCACCUUAUGUUAAUUAUUCGUAUAUAUGUAUAUACACACGCACAUCUAUCAUAUGUGUAGUGACUGAUUUGGUCGGUUUAAUUUGCAGUUGUGCUGGCUUGUGUUGCUGCUGUGCCUUGGACGCCUGCUUCUGAACACACAUACGCACGGUUGAUCGUUUGAUUUUGGGGAUUCUUUUUUAUUUCCAUUAUUAUAUUACGUGUAUAAAUAAUAAUAAUAAAAACAGUUCAGAUUGUUCCUUAGUUUGAUGAUAGGAACGCCCCCGUGGCUUGAGUUAUUAUUUUUGUAUACCAUUCUGUAGCCUUUUGAUACACAUACUCUUAUUUUUGUAUACCAUUCUGUAGACUUUUGAUACACAUACUCUUGUUCUUGUACUUUGAAUUUUAUUUACUAUGUAUUUAAUUCUCUGCAGUGGCUGAUUAAUUUAUCUUUAAAUCAAUGCUUGAUUGUAGAUACAUUUUCAAUACAAAAUAAGAACGAGUUGGUUUGGGGCCAACACAAACGCAUACAUACAUGCAAUCACAUGGAAAGCACGUUCAUAACAAGAAUGAAAAUAUCAUGAUUUUAACAUAUUUUUCAAAAACAUAUUUUUGGAUUUAUCCUAUGAAUAAUCAAAAGUCUAUCACAAUCUUUUAAAUCAGCAUUAUAAACCAUCAACUUAAAAAAGAAGGAGCAACCAACAUAAUUUUUGUAACAACGUUGUUUUAGUAAAAUUUAAUUUCAUUACGAAAAGUUCACUUCGUCUGGUCAACUAUAACAAAGAUAGAAAUACAAGCUCAUUCUUUAGCAUUGAUGCCGUGUGCUUUUGAGUCAGAGGAAUGAUUUUCAAUUGAGUGCUAACUGCUUCGAGAGAAAAUAACUCGUUCUCCGCUGGUGUAAAGACUAAAGAGAUGCCCGAUUUGGUGUACUUUCCAACCUUUUGAAUCCGAACACAAAAUUCCAAACAAAACUGUCAAAGCUGACCUUUGCGAAAGAAACGAAAUGACACCUGCACCCAUCAAGUGAAAAUAGUUUAUUUGAUGCGAUUUAUAGGAUAAUUUAUUUCAUUAUUUCUACUGUACCGACUAAAUAAUCUGGUAGAUAUCACAACACUUUAAUCAUAAAUUUUUUUAAAGAGUGGUAUCAAAUAAUUAGUUAGACUACAUUUUAAUUUGUUAAAAGUCUUCUUUAAGUCCUAUUUGUUAUUGAGAUACUGUAACUUUUAAGAUACAUCUCUUAUUGGGAAAAAAAAUCUUGUAGUUAUAAAAUAAAAAUUAAUAGUAUGUAGUAAAUGUAAUUAUUAAAUAAUAAUUUUAACAAAAUUAGUAAAGAUAUUAAUAGAUUUUUCAUUAUAUAAGUGUAAAAUUAUAAGUGUAAAAUCAAAUUAAUUCAACUUCUAAUCUACAAUAACUAGUAUUUAUUAAAUGGGAAAAGGACAAACACACCCCCAACGUUUAGACAAAGGGACAAAAAUCCUCCUAACGUUUCAAAAAAGACAUUUACACCCCUAUUCACUAACGGAAACAGUAACGUUUAACUGAAAUUACCGUUAUACCCUUCUAGCAUAUAAAAAAGAUUAUUGAUUAUCCAAUUUUUUGCAUUUAACGUAGUUUAUGAACACCCAGGUUCUAAAUGGUUAAUAGAACAAGGACUGACGUUAAUUUAGGAAGUGAAAAUUUUCAUCUAUAUCCAAAUCUAAAAAAUAAUAAUAUAAAAUUAAAUAAAACACCUGUAACUUUAAGACAUACAUAUCCUCAAUGCUGGGAGUCGUAAUGAAAAGAAGAAGAAUUACAACAAAAUUGGGGACCAUAAUGGAAACUGGUAGAACCUACAAGGGCUAAUCUUAUCUUUCAAUUGAUUUUUGUGGAGCCAGAAACAAUUAAACCCGAACAGCAAAUAGCCAUAAAUGAAAGCACAAUUAAAUUGGAACUCUCCGCAGACCCACGAUUUAAUAUCUUUAGAUUGUAACGAUUCAACCCAAAAAAAUAUUCUAGUAAAAUAUUUCUUAAAAAAAUGCUUCUUCACGUCACAACGUUGAAAACAAGAACAAAAUUGUGGUCCACGUGUCAUUUCAAAGUAGGUUGCUGGCAUAAACAUCCGGCUCCAUCCCGGACAGAUGUUAUGUGAGUGGUUGGUACGCGUUUCCACUUUUUUGUUUCAGAUGCAACGACUCAUGCACUAAAAAAAAAAAAUAAAUAAAUUUACGUUUAAGUUUUAAAAAUUAAUAUCGAUUUAAAUAUGAAUCUAAUGUUAAACUCUUAUUCAGGCAUCGAUUGUACUCGGCAAAAUAAUAAUAAUAAUAAUUAAGAAGCAGAGGCCAGGCAGGCGGUUGUAGGGCUGCUGCUAUCUUAUAGUUUUAGAAGAAGGUUCUUUUCUUUCUUUAGAGUUGAUGCCGUGAGACGUUUUUUAUAUUAUUAUGAUAACUUUGGUUGCGGAUUCAAUUGAAAUAAUAAUUCUUCUUCGACGCGUACCGACCGCCCUCGCUAAACUCUCCUUCCAAGAAAUUAACAACAACCACUCCGCCAUUUUUCUUCUAUAAAUACAUAUACUUCACACACAUUUACAUAUUUACACCCACUCUCGUCGACAUCAUCAUCAUCAAUUAACAUAUCUCCAACUUCAGCUUCUUCUCCCACCUAACUUGUCAUUUUUCUUCCUUUGCCUUUGCCAGUCUUUUCUCUCUUCUAUCAACUGCAAGCAUGAGCUCCUACAAUCAGAAUCAGUCCUCAGGUAACUAAAUCAUCUGCAUAUCCUACUUCUCCUCCUGUUGUUACGUUCCCAAGUUUUUAAAUUGUGAAUUUUGAAUCUACAUGUUUUAUCUUAACUGGGUAAUUGUGUAUAUGUAGUAGCAUACCCCCCACCACCACCGUCUACAACGGCGGGUCUGUACGUGGCGGCGCCACCACCGGCAGGUUAUCCAACGAAAGACGGCGAUCAUGGUUACGCUCAAAAUGCCCCCGUAGAAACCAAGUCCAGAGGUGAUGGCUUCUGGAAAGGAUGGUAUGCAAUCUUUAUGUGUUUCACCUCACCUUAUGUUAAUUAUUCGUAUAUAUGUAUAUACACACGCACAUCUAUCAUAUGUGUAGUGACUGAUUUGGUCGGUUUAAUUUGCAGUUGUGCUGGCUUGUGUUGCUGCUGUGCCUUGGACGCCUGCUUCUGAACACACAUACGCACGGUUGAUCGUUUGAUUUUGGGGAUUCUUUUUUAUUUCCAUUAUUAUAUUACGUGUAUAAAUAAUAAUAAUAAAAACAGUUCAGAUUGUUCCUUAGUUUGAUGAUAGGAACGCCCCCGUGGCUUGAGUUAUUAUUUUUGUAUACCAUUCUGUAGCCUUUUGAUACACAUACUCUUAUUUUUGUAUACCAUUCUGUAGACUUUUGAUACACAUACUCUUGUUCUUGUACUUUGAAUUUUAUUUACUAUGUAUUUAAUUCUCUGCAGUGGCUGAUUAAUUUAUCUUUAAAUCAAUGCUUGAUUGUAGAUACAUUUUCAAUACAAAAUAAGAACGAGUUGGUUUGGGGCCAACACAAACGCAUACAUACAUGCAAUCACAUGGAAAGCACGUUCAUAACAAGAAUGAAAAUAUCAUGAUUUUAACAUAUUUUUCAAAAACAUAUUUUUGGAUUUAUCCUAUGAAUAAUCAAAAGUCUAUCACAAUCUUUUAAAUCAGCAUUAUAAACCAUCAACUUAAAAAAGAAGGAGCAACCAACAUAAUUUUUGUAACAACGUUGUUUUAGUAAAAUUUAAUUUCAUUACGAAAAGUUCACUUCGUCUGGUCAACUAUAACAAAGAUAGAAAUACAAGCUCAUUCUUUAGCAUUGAUGCCGUGUGCUUUUGAGUCAGAGGAAUGAUUUUCAAUUGAGUGCUAACUGCUUCGAGAGAAAAUAACUCGUUCUCCGCUGGUGUAAAGACUAAAGAGAUGCCCGAUUUGGUGUACUUUCCAACCUUUUGAAUCCGAACACAAAAUUCCAAACAAAACUGUCAAAGCUGACCUUUGCGAAAGAAACGAAAUGACACCUGCACCCAUCAAGUGAAAAUAGUUUAUUUGAUGCGAUUUAUAGGAUAAUUUAUUUCAUUAUUUCUACUGUACCGACUAAAUAAUCUGGUAGAUAUCACAACACUUUAAUCAUAAAUUUUUUUAAAGAGUGGUAUCAAAUAAUUAGUUAGACUACAUUUUAAUUUGUUAAAAGUCUUCUUUAAGUCCUAUUUGUUAUUGAGAUACUGUAACUUUUAAGAUACAUCUCUUAUUGGGAAAAAAAAUCUUGUAGUUAUAAAAUAAAAAUUAAUAGUAUGUAGUAAAUGUAAUUAUUAAAUAAUAAUUUUAACAAAAUUAGUAAAGAUAUUAAUAGAUUUUUCAUUAUAUAAGUGUAAAAUUAUAAGUGUAAAAUCAAAUUAAUUCAACUUCUAAUCUACAAUAACUAGUAUUUAUUAAAUGGGAAAAGGACAAACACACCCCCAACGUUUAGACAAAGGGACAAAAAUCCUCCUAACGUUUCAAAAAAGACAUUUACACCCCUAUUCACUAACGGAAACAGUAACGUUUAACUGAAAUUACCGUUAUACCCUUCUAGCAUAUAAAAAAGAUUAUUGAUUAUCCAAUUUUUUCAUAUAUUAUUAAUAAAAUUAUAAAUAUACCCUCAUUACUCAAUUCCUCUAUUUAAAUUUUUAUCAAAUUCCCUCUUCAAGACGAUAAAUUUAAUUCAUUACUCAAGAAUAAAAAUAAAUAAAAUUGGUUAUUAAUGUUAACUUGUAUUUCAAUUAAUACCAUAAUAAAUAACAUAAAAAAUUAGUUAUAAAUAUAAAAGUUUAAAUGAUAACAUGUGGAGAAUUGUUAAAUAUACAAGUUUAAAAUUUAAAUAAAAUUUUAUGGUAUUAAUACCACAAGUUAAACUUGUAUAAUUUUUUUUAUAUGCUAGAAGGAUAUAGCGGUAAUUUAUGUUAAAAGUUACUGUUUCUGUUAGUGAAUUGGGGCAUAAAUGUAUUUUUUGAAACGUUAUGGUGGAUUUUUAUCCCUUUGUCUAAACGUUGAGGGUGUGUUUGUCCUUUUCCCUUUAUUAAAUAUUGUAACUUUUAUACUCCAGCUAUCCAAGUAAUCCAACAUCAAUCACAAACGAGACAUUAAUCAUAUAUUUAAUAAUAUCAAGUUUUCCGAUUCACCAAUUAAAUCUUAUUUUCACUAUACUUGUAUCUUCCAAAUGUUUGAUAUGAAGUUUAGACAACCUCAAACUAAUUUAUAUUAUAAUUAAUUAUUACACAAUGAAACGACACUUUAAUUAUAAAAUUUACCAAAAACAUAAAUUACACUUUUCAAGACAUACAAUGCUCUCAACACCUUCCAAACUUUAGUAAGUACAACAGUUAUGAACAAUUUCGUAUUUUGUUUGUGGUUUUAGUGGGCAGAUGGAGAAUUGUGUUCCGGUUUAAUUCAUUAAAUCUGCAAAAAAAAAAAAAUUACAUUUGGGCGCAGGCCAUUUUCCAACCCUAUUUUAAAAGCCCACAAGAGCUAACAAAAACAAGCCCAAUACCCAAAUUCACCGAGGGUUUCUAGGGUUUCUCAGAAAGCCAGCUGAGAUAUAUAUAUAAAUCCUCAUUUGUGAAUCGACCUAGCCCCUGCACAAACACACAAAAACCCAGAGAGAGCCGCGGGUGCGCGAGGAGCGAGAGUUGAAAUGGUGAAGUUUCUGAAACCAAACAAGGCCGUGAUCCUUCUUCAGGGCCGUUACGCCGGCCGGAAGGCGGUGAUCGUGAAGUCGUUCGACGACGGGACCCGCGAGAGGGCGUACGGGCACUGUUUGGUAGCGGGGAUAAAGAAGUACCCGGGCAAGGUCAUCCGCAAGGACUCGGCGAAGAAGACAGCGAAGAAGUCACGCGUCAAGGCCUUCGUCAAGUUGGUCAACUACCAGCACCUGAUGCCCACGCGCUACACUCUCGACGUCGAUUUGAAGGACGUCGUGUCGGCCGAUUCCCUCCAGAGCAAGGACAAGAAGGUGACCGCUUGCAAGGAGACCAAGAAGCGCCUCGAGGAGAGGUUUAAGACUGGCAAGAAUCGUUGGUUCUUUACUAAGCUCAGGUUUUAGAUUUUUAACCAAAGGAAGAAAACGACUUGUGUUUUUGUUUUGUUUUAUUUUGUGUUAUUGAAAACGCUUUAGUUGUUAAAGUGCGAAUUUUGAGAUUUAUGUAGUUUUUUGUGAACUUAAUUUUAUUUCUGGAUCUGGUACUAUUUUUAUGUGAUAAUAUUGGGUUUAUAAUGUUUACUCAAGACGUCAUAAAUUAAUGCUGCUUGCUGUUAGGACUUGUUUAAUUGGGUGUUAUUUUGUUUAUGUUAUCUUCCAUUAUAGUCUUUUCAAGCUGAUUUGGUAACGUUCUGGAUAUAUUCACAUCCUGAUUGUGGAAAUGUGGGUUGUGUAAAUGAUAUUUGAUGUUGGUUUCUGGGUUUGAUUGUGUUGAUGUCAUUGCGUAAUAGGUUAUUUCACAAUUGAUUUCCUAUAGGCUGAUUGUAGGAAGAAUUGGGUUGAGUGCUCAUUGGUUUUAUUACUUGGCCUAAGUAAGGCUGAUGAAUCUUACGCAUCGAGUAGUUCAAUUGCCGAGCAACAUCAUGAGUAUUUAAUACUUUGCAACUUUUUUUUGUUUCUGAGGUUUAUGUUCUCUGCUUGGUUUGCAUUUUUAUUCUACACAAGCCAAGCUUGUCUAUAACAAAGUCAACUACUUGUGCAGUUUCUAAGGAUUUGAGAUGAAUACUGAGUUCUAGGAACUGAGCUGUGUUUGCUUGAUGCUCAGUCCACAUGCUAUCAAGUUUAAGAUCCCGUUUGGUAUUAAGGCAUUGUAGUUACAAAUGAAAAUUGAUAAUUUGUGAUAAGUAUUACUUUAAAAUAAUAAUUUGAUGAUAAUAGUAAUGACAACAUCAUAGGUAUGUUAUAGUACAAUUUUGGGAUAAAAUUAGCUUAUCAUCCAAACUGUAGCAGCAUGUGUUUACCAAAUACUCGGUGCUGGAGCUUUUUACAGCUGUCCAAAACCUAUAAGCAUGUGCAUGUAUGUGCAAGAAUCACAUGUUUACCUAAGGGCCUGUGUUUGCUCCUCUAUGAGUUUAAGAUGGUUACUGCAGCUCUGCUGAUUUGAGAAUUGCUUUAUUAUUAUCCGGGCAUGUAUAUUUUGUUUUGCUUAUGCUGUGCUAAGUUACAGACCUCAUCAUACAAAUGGUUGUAAGGAGAGGAAACAAUUAUAUGCUUGUUUAUCAUUCCUAUAUAUUUAUGGCAGCAGUUUUGAUUAUUUCAAAUAGCAUAUACUUUUUGGUGUUUUUUAAUUUGAAGUUGAUCUGCAUUUGGUCAUUAAGGUCCCUGACUGGUUCUGCUUUGUUGAUCUACUCAAGCCUCAUAACAAUUUUCUAGUUAUUUUACAAAGUUUAAUGUUUUAUGAAUUGAUUUGUGUGUAAUUGAUUAUAUAUGUGUCAGUUUAAAAGCAUUUCUUGGCUUUGGAUUUCAUUUGCGUUUUGCUCUGUAUCAUCAGCCUGGAUUUAAUGUUUUGAUCGCGUUGGGUUAUUUAUGAACCCGUUAAAAUUUUUUUGAUCAUUCCUCAAAUAGACUGUAGACUGAUAAUGCAUGUUUAUCAGCCAGCAAAUUUAAAGGUGUCAUUUGACAUCUUUUUGUCAGCAACUGAUUCAUUCAUAGGCAUUACACUUCCUUCAAAUAAAAUUCUGAAGUCAAGAUAGAAGUAAAUUGGGAUCUCUAUGUUGCCGAUGAUGUUAUCGUAGCAUGUGCUGAUUAUUUUUCAAGAUUGGUAUUUGACAGCCCGACAGCUGCCACAGAUUCUAAAUCGUCCUUACCACUCAGACAAGAUAUGCUAAGAUUCACCGUAGAAUUGGUCUUCGAACGAUCAAGUGCGGUCAUUUUUGAGUGGCAAAGCAAAUGACACCCUCUCGUUUGAAUUGAAGGAUCUAUGCCGAUUAUUAUUUGAAACGAAAGAUACCUCGAAAGGAAAACUAAUAAUACAGUAAAGCAAACAAUGAUUGAACCCACUUUUGGUUUUGGAUAGGCAAACGAUGUUUGUGGUUUGCCUGUCGCUGCUUGUGAUCUAAAGAUAAUAUAGCAAUUCGCAGACCACCAUGAUAGUUUUCCUUGACAAUCGUCGUUGUACCCGCUUUCUUUUUAUUUUUUUCUUCUUUUUUUUUUUUUUUUUGGAUUUAGCCACAAAUAUUAUUAACCAUACAUUGAGUCCCAAUCUAGUUGGGCAGGCGGAAUUUUGGGCUCACAACACAGCCCAAUAAAUCACCACACGCACAGUCGCGCAAUUGAUUGAAAUCUUUUAACCAUCUAUUAUGUCUAAUUAAUUCAAAAUAAAUCUCUUCAUUUAUUGAACUAACAGAAAUUAUUAAUUUUUUUGCAAGCUUUUGCUUAGUAACGACCGGGGAUGAUUGGUGCUUAUGGAUUAACUGUGCUUCAAAUAUUUUAUAAUGAGGGAUUACCCCACUAAUCAUGUAAACAAUAAUAAGAUUAUAUUAAUUAGUGAUAUCGAUAUCUUAAACAUAAAGACAAAAUUUGAUCCCUUAUUCCCUUAAUUUUAUCCAUGACACGUAUCCUUAGAAUCCAAAAGAUGACGCAAUUAAGUAUUAACUCAUAUAAUUAAUCACUUAAUUAAAUCCCUUAAAUCUAACGUUUUCCCACAAGCGAACGGACUUAACGACACUCCCAAACGGAGUACCUAACGACGUAAAAAAAAAAAAAAAAAAAAUCAUCGUUUUACAUUUAUUCAUUUUCCCUCCCUCCCUCUGUCGUCAUCUCUAUUCUGAGCUAAAAAGUAUUUCAACUUUCCUCCCAAUUUUCCCUCACUUUCCCUCUCCCCAAACACAAAUGAAUUGCUCAGUUCUUAUCUUCUAAUUAUUGUUGUUAUUUUCAAUUCUACUUUCUCGUGGUCUGACACACAGCUCUGGAUUCUCUGUUCCUUAGUCUCUUUGUUUCUUUGCGAGGAUUUGUCCAUUUUCUCUCAAAAGCUCUUCGCUUUUCGAAUCUCAAUUAUCGAAUUAACCCGCCACUUUCAAUAUAUCAAUCAAGCACUUUCAAUCAGUUUUAUUAUCAUGCUUCAAAGCUUAGUAGUACCUCAGUCUCCAAUCAAUUCCUCCACCGCGAUGAAAUCCAAGCGCGUGGACCGCGACGACGACGACGACAACCCCAACGGCGAUCCUUCGAGAGCCGUUGCCAAACGAGCUAACGUGAUCGAACAGGAACAAAAACUACAAGAGCAAGAAGAGGAAGCUGAACAGCACGACGUCGUCGUGAUGGAAGGCGAGUCAGCAGGCUUGAGACUCUUAGGACUCUUGCUACAGUGCGCUGAAUGCGUCGCCAUGGACAAUCUCGACGACGCCACUGAUCUUCUUCCAGAGAUAUCCGAGCUAUCGUCUCCGUUCGUUUCUUCGCCGGAACGCGUCGGUGCUUACUUCGCCCACGCGCUACAGGCGCGUGUUGUCAGUUCUUGUUUGGGAACUUACUCGCCCCUCACCACGAAAUCGUUGACGUUAUCCCAGUCUCAGAAGAUAUUCAACGCCUUGCAAUCAUACAAUUCCAUCUGUCCGUUGAUCAAGUUCUCUCAUUUCACCGCCAAUCAAGCGAUUUUUCAAGCAUUGGACGGUGCAGAUUGUGUCCACAUCAUCGAUCUGGACAUUAUGCAAGGCCUUCAAUGGCCAGGAUUGUUCCACAUCCUCGUAUCCCGGUCUAAAAAGAUCCGCUCCAUGAGAAUAACCGGGUUCGGAUCUUCAUCCGAGUUACUCGAAUCGACUGGGAGACGACUCGCUGACUUUGCCAUGUCACUCGGCUUGCCGUUCGAUUUUAAUCCGCUGGAGGGCAAAAUUGGGAACAUAAUCGACGUGAGUCAACUCGGGGUGAGACCUGGGGAAACAAUUGUGGUCCAUUGGAUGCAUCAUUGCUUGUACGACAUAACGGGGAGUGAUUUAGGGACGUUGAGAAUGUUGACUCUGCUGAGGCCGAAGCUGAUUACGAUCGUUGAACAAGAUUUAAGCCACGGUGGCAGUUUUUUGGGACGGUUCGUUGAGGCUUUACAUUAUUACAGCGCGUUGUUCGACGCGCUGGGGGACGGACUGGGCGCUGACAGUAUAGAAAGGCAUACGGUGGAGCAGCAGUUGUUUGGAUGUGAAAUUAGGAACAUAGUGGCGGUUGGUGGGCCCAAGAGGACGGGUGAGGUGAAAGUGGAGAGAUGGGGGGAGGAGUUGAAACGGGUCGGAUUCAGACCCGUUUCUCUGAGUGGUAACCCGGCAGCUCAAGCUAGCUUGCUGCUUGGGAUGUUUCCUUGGAAAGGAUAUACUUUGGUCGAGGAAAAUGGGUGCUUGAAAUUGGGCUGGAAAGAUUUGUCCUUGUUGACUGCCUCGGCCUGGCAGCCGUCCGAUUGAAUCAAUGAUUGAUGAUUUGAUCUGAAUUCAUCGGUAUUAUCAAAAGAAAGAAUUUUGUACGCGCUUGACAUGAUGAUGAUCAAACGUUGGAUUUUGGGGAUGUUUGGUUUUCUUAUAAGACUUCAAAGUACAUUCGAGACCGCGGCUCUGUG